CGCAUCUUCACAUUGUUCAUCUGUCUGAUGCGAGAUCUUCCUUAGAUCUAAUUAAGGAAGCAAAAAGUGGUGAUAGCAAUGGUGAUAGCACAACUAUUGGAUUUGGAGCAUUACCACAUCAAAAGUCGUUGCACAGGUCCUCAAGAUGGCGGUUACAGAUGCUGGCCACCAGGUCGUGGGCUCGUUUCUCUCGGAAAGUUUACAACAGCAAUUUAGCAAGCGUCUAGCAUCGGUCAUGAGGAUUCUUAACGUUAUGCAGGCAUCUACGCUUGACUAUCAGUUCAUCAUUCUGCCCCUUCUGAAGUCAUUCAUGCGGGAACUAUUUGAGGUUUUGGUCGACAAAGACACAAAGAAGAAGGCAGAUGCUGCAAGAGAAGCACUUUUAUCAGAGAUUGAACUGGAAGCCAAGAAGAAGAAAGAUUUUGAGUCCAAGAAAAAGAAUAAAAAUCAGAGAAAGAAUAAGGAUCCAAAGGUUACUCAAGGUGAUGACCUGUAUGUACCGCAAGAGGAAACUGAAGAACAAGUUCACUUUCCUGUUAGCUACAAUGGUGAUUAUCCUAGUUCUGUGAUUGUUGUUGCUGCAAGAGCUGAUGAAUUGGGGCUACAGGAAGAGGAACUUAAGCAUGAAAUUGAGCAUGAUGUGGAGGAAAGAAAGCUUGAAGAGAAGUUGGAGUAUCAAAGGCAGAUUGCGGAUGAGGAUAAGCAUACAAAUCUAGCCAUGCAAAAUAAGCAUGCAGUUGCUGCAUCCAUAGCAGAGGAGGUGGAAGAAAUGGAUGUUAUUUGCGCCACUGAUUUAGGGCCAGGACUGAGAAAUGUUGGUGAAAACAAUUGCUUUAUCAAUGUGAUUGUACAGUCUCUCUGGCAUUUAAGAACAUUUAGAGGCAAGUUUUUGAGAAGAUCAACAUCUGCUCAUGCUCAUAUCAAAGAUCCCUGUAUUGUUUGCGAAUUACAUGGUAUUUCACUGCCCUAAGAGAAGCUAAGGAAGGAGAUGAUGCUGUUUCUCCUACCACUUCAAGAAUUGCUUAGAGCAAAUGGCAAGAUGCAUGAUCAUCCGAAUGAGCUUUUGAAACACGAUAUAAGGGAAAAACAUCAGAAUAGUUGUGGCGGCUGUAGCAAACGAAAUAUUCCUCACUGCAUUCUUUCAACUCCUCCACGUGUUCACAAUAGUUGGGAGAGUCUUGAAGAGCCUGCACAUAAAAUAUCUGCAACAUUGGGAGCUCUAAGUACCAAGAUAGAUAUUGGUGUCAUCUACGAGGGUUUAGAUCCAGGAAACACACAUUAUCUUAUUUCAAUGGUUUGCUAUGGCCUAAAGCACUACAUCUGCCUUGUUUACAACCGUGCGAAAGAAAUUUGGAUUUUGUAUGACAAUGAUAAAGUGAAGGUUAUUGGUAGUUGGGAUGGUGUUCUUACCAUGUGUUCAAGAAAGCGUUUGCAACUCCAACUUCUAUUUUUUGAAGUGAAGGGAAGUGUCUCUGUAACUCCUUUGGAGGAAACCAAGGUGCCUGACAAUCCUUAGGAAGUAUGCAAGGCUGAAAGGAAAAGAUCUGGCAACCAUGGCAAGACCAAGCAAGGUAAGCAACCUUUUUUUAAAGCUAGGCUAUCCUGAAUAUCAUUCUAAUCUGUAAAAAAUUGAAAAAAUAAUAAAAUUGACACGGCACCUGCAAAUCUCCAGGACUUGUUUGGAUGGUUAUAUUCCCAAAGAAAUAUGUAGCAGUAAAAAGGGCUUUAUGCCUACUUAUAAAGUGACUUAUUAUGUAUUACAUACAAUUAUUGUUGUUUACCAUCUAAGGUUGUUUUAAUGCCAUCAUACAUCUUAAGAUAUAGAUAAAAUGGGGCAUAUACAGGCAAGUGCUUGUGUUUUAGAUUGUUGCUCUUUCAUGGGUGGGGAAAUUUGAUCCGACGAAAGAUUCUCCGAAUAACUAACAAAAAAAAUAAAAUAAAAUUGAUGAAGUAAAAUAAAACCAAAUAUUGAAUUCAGUGUUCCAUAUUCCUCUUGAAACAUAAAUGAGCAAAUAUAAGCUUGCCACAUUGAGAGGUAGCUAAAGGAGAUUCCGGACUUCUAAAAUUUAUAUUUAUUUCAUUUACUCAAGUAGUUGAAAACUAUGGAAGGGCCUUUGCUCGGAUUUCUGGUUUGUCCACAAUUUUUAGAGACAUCAUGAGCACCAUAAUGAGCCAAAGGGUGCUUCAAAGCUAUCCUUCGGGUUGAUUUGAUAUUUAGAAAUAUUGAUUUAACAGACACAUUAGGGCGAGAUUGUUAAAUUUUGGUUUAAUUUUAUAUUUUAUUACUGUUUGUUUCUAUUCAAUAUUCAAAUUUGUAGUUUAAAUUCUAUAAAAUUUGUGGGUUAUUGUUGGUUAGUGAUUUUUUAACUUCUAUUAUUUGUUGUAAAAUUUGUUAUUUGUAGCAAUAUACUUUAUAAUUUUUUAUUUUUAUUUUUCUGUAGAUAUGGAUUUGGGUGAUGAACACCUAUUUAGUCAUCUUCUUCAGAGACAGUCUAAUUGUGUUAUUUAUGUACUUAAGGGUGACUAGGGAAACCAUUCUUAUGGUUAUACCUCCAUGCAAAAUUGUGUUAAGAAUUAAACUUUUAAAAUUAGCAUACUAGAUUAUAAAACUGAUGAGGAGGCGUUUGAAGGGUUUAUCUGCUUGAAGUCUUGCAAAAGGUUAUAUGUCUUCGAUGGUUUCACGUUAGAUAACAACAUUUUAUUAGUAGAAAGAUUAGGGUCCAACUUUGCAACGUUCUUUCAAGAUGAAUACACAACAUUUGUGAGAAAGGGUUAGCCUCACACUCAUUGGUUUGAGUUUAUCAAGGACAAAUUUUGUGCAAUUUUCAAGUAUUGUUUUUCUUCUAAUUAUUAUGUUUAAUAAUAAUAUUUUGUAAUUAUUAUUUUUUGCAAUUAGUUAUAAUUGUUGUUAUGUAGGGAUAUGAUCAACGGAUUAUGGCGCAUAUAUUCAUUACAAUUUGUGAGUGAAGUGAGGGUUGGCGGUACUUUAGUAAUUAAUAAUUGUGCGAAACUUUUUUUUAUUCAUAAUCCUAACUCUGGUAUGUUUAGCAAGUUAUAUUUUUUUUUAUUUUUUAUUUUAGACUCUUUAUUUUAAUCAUUUCUUUUCUUGUUAUUGAAGUUUUUUUUGUUUUAUAGAAAUAAUCAUUGAAAUUUUAUUGAAGUCGUGUGGCAAUUGGGAUGGUUCUAUAAAGAUGUUGGAAAAUUGUUUUCAUCAACUAGCUGUACCAGGUAAUUUGUAUUGCUUUGUGUAUUUUUUGUGUGAUGAAAAUUAUUUGUAAGUUUUAUUUUAAUUUUUUCAAAGCUUUGUAUUUAUUUAUAUAUUUUUCAAUUCACUUUUUUUUUUUUUUUUUUUGUAGGAAUAAUGUUGAUUUGGAUUGGUUACUUGAUAAUUUUUUUUUCUAGAAUACAAUGGAGAAAUCUAAGUUCAUUCAUAAGUUGGGUAACAUUUUACACGUGCAGCAAAGGUUAGAUACAUAUACAUGAAUAUCUUUGUGAUACUUAGUAUUAUUGCACAUUCUGGCUGGGAGAGUUUGGUUCCAAAGUCAUGGCCGACUUGGGAUGUCUAUUGUCGGUUUGAAGCAGAUAUGAGAAAGGAUAGCAGCAACAAUAGUAAUCGGCUUCAAAGUGUUAGACGUAAAAUAGUAAGAUACAUGUGCAACUUGUUUGAACAUGCAAAUUUGAGCUUCCCUGUACUUGUAUAUUUUUUUUUUUGUCCUGUGAUUUGACUUUAUUAAAAAUUAAUUCUUCUUUUAAAUUUUUGAUAGAUGCGUGUGAAAAAGGAGAGAAUUGUUCAGGGGGAAGACAAUAUUAUGUUUGUGUAUGGAGGGACUGCUCUCCUCUUACGCCGUGCUUGCAACCACCCUUUUUUUUUAUCUCCUGUCAAAUAGCCCCCACCAACACUAAAUGAUAUUUAGUGUGGUUGUUUUUUGUUUUGAAAUACUAAAUGGUAUUUGGUUAUUUAUCCAAAAAACAAAAAAAAAAAAUUCAAAAACAAAAAACAACCAGAGACACAAUACCGUUCAGUAUUGCUGGGGCAUAAAAAAGUGGUGGUUGCAUACACGGCGCAAGAGGCCAGCAGUCCCUCCAAACAUAUCAUCUUCCAUCUAAACAAUUCUCUCCAUUAUCACACGCAUCUAUCAAAAAUUUAAAAGAAGAAUUAAUUUUUAAUAAAGUCAGAUCAGAGGACAAAUAAAUAAAUAAAGGCAAAAAUUAUAUAUACAUACAUGUACAGGGAAGUUGGAAUUUGCAUGUUCAAACAAGUUGCGUAUGUAUCUUACUAUUUUAUGGCUGACACUUUGAAGCCGAUUACUAUUGUUGUCGCUGCUGUCCUUCUUCAUAUCUGCUUCAAAUCGAUAAUAGACAUCCCAAGCCGGCCCUGACUUUGGAACCAAACUCUCCCAGCCAGAAGGUACAAUAAUACCAUAAGUAACACGAAGAUAUUCAUGUAUAUACUCGUCAAGAUACGAGGUAUCUAACCUUUGCUGUACGUGUAAAAUAUUAUCCAACUUACGAAUGAACUUAUAUUUUUCUAUUGUAUUCUAAAAAAAUAAUUAUCAAGUAGGCAAUGCAAAUCAACAUUAUUCCUACAAAACGAAGAAAAAAAAAUAGUGCAUUGAAAAAUAUAUAAAUAAAAAAAAGCUUUAAAAAAAUAAAAAUAAAACUUACAAAUAAUUUUCAUCACACAGAGAAUACACAAAGCAGUACAAAUCAACUGGUACAGCUCGAUGAAAACAAUUUUCCAGUAUCUUUAUAAAACCAUCCCAAUUACCACACGGCUUUAAUAAAAUUUCAAUGAUUAUUUCCCCUAGUUCAACAAGCUCCUCAAAUACUUCGUAAAAUAAAAAAAAAAAAAAUUGUAAAACAAAAAAAACUUCAAUACCAAGGAAAGAAAUUAUUAAAAUAAAAAAUCUAAAAUAAAAAAAUAUAACUUGCUAAACAUACCAGAUUUAAGAUUAUGAAUAAAAAAAAAGUUUCGCACAAUUAUUGAAUACUGAAGUACUGCCAGCCCUCAUUCUACUCACAAAUUGUAAUGAAUAUAUGUGCCGUAAUCCGUUAAAUAUAUCCCUACAUAACAACAAUUAUAACUAAUUGCAAAAUAUAAUAAUUACAAAGUAUUAUUAUUAAACAUAAUAAUUAGAAGAAAAACAAUACCUGAAAAUUGCACAAAAAUUGUCCUUGAUAAACUCAAACCGAGUGUAAGGCUUACCCUUUCUUACAAAUGUUGUGUAUUCAUCUUGAAAGUACGUUGCCAAGUCGGGCCCUAAUCUUUUUACUAAUAAAAUGUUGUUAUCCAACAUGAAACUAUCGAAGACAUAUAACCCUUUGCAAGACUUCAAGCAGAUAAACCCUUCAAACGCCUCCUCAUUAGUUUUGUAAUCCAGAGUGCUAAUCCUAACACAGUUUUGCAUGGAGGUAUAACCGUAGGAAUGGUUUCCCAAGUCACCCUCAAGUACAUAAAUAACACUAUUAGACUGUCUCUGAAGAGAUGACUGAAUGGGUGUUCAUCACCCAAAUCCAUAUCUACAGAAAAAUAAAAAU